GACGAACGCUGGCGGCGUGCCUAAUACAUGCAAGUCGAACGCUUCUUUUUCCACCGGAGCUUGCUCCACCGGAAAAAGAGGAGUGGCGAACGGGUGAGUAACACGUGGGUAACCUGCCCAUCAGAAGGGGAUAACACUUGGAAACAGGUGCUAAUACCGUAUAACAAUCAAAACCGCAUGGUUUUGAUUUGAAAGGCGUUUUCGGGUGUCGCUGAUGGAUGGACCCGGGGUGCAUUAGCUAGUUGGUGAGGUAACGGCUCACCAAGGCCAAGAUGCAUAGCGGACCUGAGAGGGUGAUCGGCGACAGUGGGACUGAGACACGGCCCAAAAUCCUACGGGAGGAAGCAGUAGGGAAUCUUCGGCAAUGGACGAAAGUCUGACCGAGCAACGCCGCGUGAGUGAAGAAGGUUGUCGGAUCGUAAAACUCUGUUGUUAGAGAAGAACAAGGAUGAGAGUAACUGUUCAUCCCUUGACGGUAUCUAACCAGAAAGCCACGGCUAACUACGUGCCAGCCGCCGCGGUAA
rnacentral:rRNA from 1 species